rnacentral:rRNA from 1 species
CCUGACUGCUAUCGGGGUGGGUAGCCAUGCGAGUCUGCGUCACGGGCAACGUGACGCGGCGCACGGCUCAGUAAAACAUGCUCAAACUGCCCUACAGACCGGGAUAACCUCUGGAAACGGAGGAUAAUCCCGGAUAGGUAAGAACUCUUGGAAUAGGUUCUUACCGAAAGGGUGCGGUGCUGAUGCCGCAUCGCACCGCUGUAGGAUGUGAGCAUGGCCUAUCAGGUUGAUGGUGAGGUAACGGCUCACCAUGCCUAAGACGGGUACGGGCCGUGAUAGCGGGAGCCCGGAGAUGGGUUCUGAGACAAGAACCCAGGCCCUACGGGGCGCAGCAGGCGCGAAACUUCUGCAAUGCGCGAAAGCGCGACAGAGUCACCCCGAGUGCCAUCCGCUGAGGAUGGCUUUUGCCCUGUGUAAAAAGCAGGGCGAAUAAGCGGGGGGCAAGUUCUGGUGUCAGCCGCCGCGGUAAUACCAGCCCCGCGAGUGGUCAGGACGAUUAUUAAGCCUAAAGCGUCCGUAGCCGGCCUUGUAAGUUCUCCCUUAAAUGGUAUGGCUCAACCAUACCGUUGGGGAGAAUACUGCAAGGCUAGGGGGCGGGAGAGGCGGGUGGUAGUUGAGGGGUAGUGGCGAAAUACGAUGAUCCCUCAAGGACCACCAGUGGCGGAGGCGACCCGCUAGAACGCGCCCGACGGUGAGGGACGAAAGCUGGGGGAGCAAAAGGGAUUAGAGACCCCUGUAGUCCCAGCUGUAAACUAUGCGGGCUAAAUGUUGGGUGAGGUUAGUCCUCACCCAGUGUUGCAGGGAAGCCGUUAAGCCCGCCGCUUGGGGAGUACGGCCGCAAGGCUGAAACUUAAAGGAAAGGGAGGUUGGGAGCUGGGUGCAAAGGUGAUAAUUAAGAAGUGAAUAUGAUUAUGAGGUUAAGUUGGCGCAGAGGAACUAUGAAUGUAAUCCUUGUCCUCUUUGUCUGUCCAGCUUCCACCUCCCCCUGAGUUGGCGGGGGGGCACCACAAGGGGUGAAGCUUGCGGCUUAAUUGGAGUCAACGCCGGAAACCUUACCCGGGGCGACAGCAGGAUGAUGGCCAGGCUAACGACCUUGCCGGACGAGCUGAGAGGAGGUGCAUGGCCGUCGUCAGCUCGUGCCGUGAGGUGUCCGGUUAAGUCCGGCAACGAGCGAGACCCCCACCCCUAGUUGCUACCCGAUCCUCCGGACCGGGUCCACACUAGGGGGACUGCCGGCGUAAGCCGGAGGAAGGAGGGGGCCACGGCAGGUCAGCAUGCCCCGAAACUCCUGGGCCGCACGCGGGUUACAAUGGCAGGGACAGCGGGAUUCCGACCCCGAAAGGGGGAGGUAAUCCCUUAAACCCUGCCGCAGUUGGGAUCGAGGGCUGAAAUUCGCCCUCGUGAACGAGGAAUCCCUAGUAACCGCGCGUCAACAACGCGCGGUGAAUACGUCCCUGCUCCUU